rnacentral:rRNA from 1 species
GCACAAGCGGCGGAGCAUGCGGAUUAAUUCGAUGCAACGCGAAGAACCUUACCAAGGCUUGACAUACACCGGUAACGCCCAGAGAUGGGUGCCCCUUUGUGGUCGGUGGACAGGUGGUGCAUGGUUGUCGUCAGCUCGUGUCGUGAGAUGUUGGGUUAAGUCCCGCAACGAGCGCAACCCUUAUCCCCAGUUGCCAUCAGGUAAAGCUGGGAACUCUGGGGAGACUGCCGGUGAUAAACCGGAGGAAGGCGGGGAUGACGUCAAGUCCUCAUGGCCCUUACAUCCCGGGCUACACACGUGCUACAAUGGCAGGUACAGAGGGCUGCGAAGCCGCGAGGUGGAGCGAAUCCCAGAAAACCUGUCUCAGUCCGGAUUGAAGUCUGCAACUCGACUUCAUGAAGGCGGAAUCGCUAGUAACCGCGAAUCAGCAGGUCGCGGUCGAAUACGGUUCCCGGGCCUU